rnacentral:rRNA from 1 species
CCUACGUGAGGCAGCAGUGGGGAAUAUUGGACAAUGGGCGAAAGCCUGAUCCAGCCAUGCCGCGUGUGUGAAGAAGGCCUUCGGGUUGUAAAGCACUUUCAGUGGGGAAGAAAGCCUUGGGGCUAAUACCCUCGAGGAAGGACAUCACCCACAGAAGAAGCACCGGCUAACUCCGUGCCAGCAGCCGCGGUAAUACGGAGGGUGCGAGCGUUAAUCGGAAUUACUGGGCGUAAAGCGCGCGUAGGCGGUCUGAUAAGCCGGUUGUGAAAGCCCCGGGCUCAACCUGGGAACGGCAUCCGGAACUGUCAGGCUAGAGUGCAGGAGAGGAAGGUAGAAUUCCCGGUGUAGCGGUGAAAUGCGUAGAGAUCGGGAGGAAUACCAGUGGCGAAGGCGGCCUUCUGGACUGACACUGACGCUGAGGUGCGAAAGCGUGGGUAGCAAACAGGAUUAGAUACCCGAGUAGUC